rnacentral:misc_RNA from 1 species
UCUCCGUAGGUGAACCUGCGGAGGGAUCAUUACAGAGUUCAUGCCCUACCGGGUAGAUCUCCCACCCUAUGUUAUUAUUACUUUGUUGCUUUGGCGGGCCGUUAGGAUCCGGCACGACUACCGGCCCCGGCUGGUAAGCGCCCGCCAGAGGACCCAAAACCCUGAAUAUUAGUGUCGUCUGAGUACUAUAUAAUAGUUAAAACUUUCAACAACGGAUCUCUUGGUCCUG